GGAAGGGAAGGGACCCAGGCUAACAGACUCCAGAUACCAGCAGCAGCCCUUGAGCCAUGUUGCCUAAUUGUCCCCAAGGAGAAAACUUCCCAGGUCUUCGGAGGCAGCAAAAGCUUUCCUGGCACAGAGCUAGAAAAGAAGAUUCUCAUGGUGUCUCAUGUGGCAGGAACUACAGGAGCUGGGCCAAGAAGAGCCCAAGAAGACAUUACUACUAACUGUCACAUGGUGUCACGGAUGGGAUCUUCGGACAGAAAAAGGAAAUUGGGCCAGGCGCGGUGGCUCACGCCUAUAAUCCCAUCACUUUGGGAGGCUGAGGCUGUACAAGAAGCAUGGUGCCAGCAUCUGCUGCUAGUGAGGACCGCAGGAAGCUUCCUAUCAUAGUGGAAGAUGAAGGGGGGCCGACAAGAUCACGUGGUGAGCAACAGACAUGCCAGGUUCUUUCAAAGAUCCAGCUCUUUGAAAGAAUGAGUGAAAAGAGCAAGAAUUCACUCAUUACCACAGGGAGGGCACCAAGCCAUUCAUGAGGCAUCUGCCCCCAUGACCCAAACA